CCAACGCUCCGCCACCUCACCGCAUCCUCCCUUCUUGCCUCCGCCACUCCUUGCCCUGCCGCCGCUCCUCACCACAUGUAAGAGGUGAGGGGCAAGCGGGGGGGGGGGAGGAGAGGGCGGCGAUAGGAUCUGUGUGGGGGAGAGGGAGGGGAUUUAGCUAGGGAGAGAGAGGGGAUUCAGUGGGGAGAAGAAGAGAGAGAGGAAUGGGUGAGAGAAUGAGGGGAUGAUCGGAUAAGUGUGGGGAGGGGGGUGAGUGUGGAGUAAGAGAUUGAAGGGGUGCUGACAACGUGUGAGGGGAGGUUGCGAUUUAAUACCGGGUGAAGCCUGCACCGGGUACUAAAGACCCUCAGGAACAUUAUUACCAGUUGGAAGCUUCAAUCGAUACUAAUUUGUGACCUUUACUAUCAGGUAAAGCCUCCACCCGGUACUAAAGGGGGUCACGAGGGGCUCCUCGGGGACUAGCCGUUAGGCGAGCAUUAGUACCGGAUCAAAACACAACCAGUACUGAGCCUCGGGACGAAUGCUGAGUUUUCCAGUAGUGCCAGGUUGUGUUCGCUCCAUCAGAUGAGAGGUAGGCCGAGGCGAUGAGUGUUGACGCUCGUUAUUGACAUACUUUUAGUAUCAUUUAAGUGGUGUUUUCAUACAUAUUCUUAUACUAACCCGCCACUUGGCACCUGAAAUAACCUCGUUUUCGCAUAUGCAUUGUAUUUUGGAGGACAUUCUGUUUUUACAGGAAAUUGGACCUAAAAUCAUAUUUUUCGAUAAAGCCAUGAGCAAGCAACGAACUUGUCAAAUACGAAGGCCACCGGGCUCAGAAAGAGCCCAGGGCGAUCAUCUUGGUGAAGCCCAAGACGAUCGGCCAAGGGUCUUCUGGUCCCCUCCGAUGCUCAUUUUUUAGCAAGCACUCCUCCAAGAUUACUGUGUGUUUGGAUAGUGGGUUGGGACAGGUUUGACCUAGUUGGUCCCUUGUUUGGUUGGAAAUACAUGUGGGUUGGAGUGACUCCAGUAGGGAAUAUUUCACGUAGAUGCGGGUUGGAAUGGUUUCUCCAAAACGGGCGGACCGUCCUGACCCAGAUGGAUACCGUCGCUUCUUCGUCUCCGCGCUCGCCCUCGAUCACCCGCGCGCCGGCGUGCUCGCUGCCUCCCUCCUCACCUCCCCGGCCCGCCCGCCCUUGGUCCUCGCGCUCGCUAGCGCAGGCGCGCUCGCCACCCCCGCCGCCUGCCCGACGCCUCCAUCUUCCCACCAACCCCGCUUCCUCCCGUCGCCCUCCGCAUGCAUCACAGGGAGGAGCGGCGCGGGGAGAGGGGUGGCGGCUGGCGUGGGGAGAGGGGUGGCGGUUGGCGCGGGGGAAGGGAGCGGUGGCCGACGCGAGGGGAGAGGGAGGAGCGGCGGCGCAGGGAGAGGGAGCGGCGGUGCGGGAAAGGGAGGAGCGGUGGUCGUGCAUGCAGAGGGGCGGUGGCGCAGGGGGGAGCGCAGGGGUAGGGGAGCGGCGGCGCGGGGGAGACGGAGGGUGGCUAGAGGAAGAAGAUAAUGUGGGUGAUGAUGACAUGUGGGCCCCGCAGUUGAUAGUUGGGACCCGUUGCUAAUGGUGUUAAAAUACCAUCCAUCCCAACCUUCUCAAUCCCUCCAAUCAAACAAAAAAUUAGGUCCAACCUAUCCCUCUCAUCCAAACACGAGAUGGGUCGACUCCAACCCAUAAAAGGGGUGAGCUCCAACCCAACCCAUAUCGUUCCAAAACCAAACACAUGCUUAAGGGCUAAGAUUGUGAAGACAUGGCAAGUCUCAUUUCCAGAUCAAAGAGGAAGCAAAGAAGAUCAAGUGGAGAUUUGAAGAGUUAUCAAAGAUCAAUCUCAUCUUGAAGCUAUCAACGUGCUAGGUCCACAUACAUACAAAAAUAAGCUUCCAAAAAAUCAGAGGAGACUUGGCGACGGAGUUGGGCAUGAGGGGAUAAAAGGAAGGGUCAUGACGAUCAGCUUGGACCUCCACAGACCGAUUGGCCUAGGGUUUUCCUUAUUCCCCUCACCUUCUUAUUUCAGCCACUCGUCUUCCAAACUAUAAGAAUGCCCAAAAUUCAUCGACGCACAAGAUCAAUCCACCAGAAGUCGACGAAUAGAGGGACACACACCAGAGUGAGCUGAGGGCCACUGCAAGUCUUCGAGGUUGUUUAGGAGAUGGCUUAGGCUAGACCCUAGCCGCCAUGGUCAUCCCUGCAUGGUGAAGCCAUGGUGGAGUUUUGGAGCCGAGCCUUGUGAUCAUCAAGGCUUAUGUAUACACGAUGGUGAUAUCAAUCUAAUCUUGUGCUUAUUUUGAUCUACUAUGAUGCAUGCUUAUUCUCAUAUGUUUAGCUAGCAUAUGUUCUUAGUAGGAAUUGAUGUAAUCGUGGUGAUUAGUCUAUGUCUUUCGGAUACAUCUUAGUAGUGCGUAGGAAGUCGGUGUGAUUACCCUUGUGUGGCGACAACAUGUGGGAGGAAAAGACCGAACGAUUGCGUAAUGUUGAGUAGGAUCGAUGGCGAGUAUUGUGAGAGUCAUUUGAGGUAAAGCUUUGGAAAACCGGAGACAUUAACACAUACCUCGCAGUGGUGACCACAAGAAAGUAGGCCGUUUGCGAGCCACCUUUCUUAGAGAUGACUCUUUAUCAAGGUGCUACAUAGAUUGGUUAUCACUUUGGCUGAACUACAAUAAGAAAAUAAUAGGCUCAUGCUACCUUUGGUUGUGUUACCUCAUAUAUAUGGAUGCGAUAUGUUUAUCCUGUCCAAUACUUAUGUCACGAUUAGGUUUACCUUUAUAUGCAAUUCGUGCUUCAUGGUAGGAUUAGAUCUGAUUAGCUAGAUAGAAAAACCCUAACCAGUUUGCUGCCGAUCCACGGAUUGAUAAACCUUGGAUGGGAUAUUCUGAGGAAAAAACUACGAUGAUUCGUGCGCUUGCGGUUCAUAAACUGGCGUGUUAACUGCCAUCAACAAUGAGCUCGCAACAGGAGUGUGAUCGAUCUUGUCUAUAGAAUUCACGAUGAUGUUGUUCAUAUUGUUUAAUAUAUGUUUAACAAUUACAAGCUAGUGUAUUUUUCACAAUCAUGCUUAACCGCAUCUAAGUAAGAGGAAGCAGGGGUAUCAAGACGGUUACAAAAGCAUCACCAAGCUGGUGGCAAGCAGCAAGAAAAAAAUAUAGAGGGACACGCACUCAGCCUCACAAAGCAAACAAGACUACCCUACGCUGGAUUACAAGCUAGUGCUCUGGAGGGGGAGGGAGCAACUGCUCCUCCUUGGGGCACGGCAGCACGGGGCGGGAUUUGAAAAGUGGGGGAAAAAGACACGCAGGCGGGGCGCGGUGGGCCAGCGUGACAGCGGUUGCCGUGGCAAGUAGCGGGGGCCCAUCUUCUCUUUUGUAUUGUUGUUUCUCUCUCUCUCUCUCUCUCCUUCUCUUUCUCUGGAGAAUUCAAUUCGAUUGAUUGAUUAUCAAUAGCAGGCCACGCGCACACACACACACAGCUCCGCUCUGCCUCUGCUCCUCUUCCGUUCCUCUUCCAUCCAGGAGCGAGCCCCCCACCCAGACCACCAAAUCCGAUUCGCGCGUCGGAGCAGGAGGCGGCGGCAUGCCGCGCACGGCGGCGGCGGCGCCCCCGGCGCGCAAGGUGCCCCUCCGGAAGCUGCUGCGCGCGGCGUCCGUGGCGUGCGGGGUGCAGUUCGGGUGGGCGCUGCAGCUGUCGCUGCUCACCCCCUACGUGCAGGAGCUCGGCAUCCCGCACGCCUUCGCCAGCCUCGUCUGGCUCUGCGGCCCGCUCUCCGGCCUCCUCGUCCAGCCCCUCGUCGGCCACCUCUCCGACCGCAUCGCACCCGCGGCCUCCCCGCUGGGGCGCCGAAGGCCCUUCAUCGCCGCGGGGGCCGCCUCCAUCGCCGCCGCCGUCCUCACCGUCGGGUUCUCCGCCGACCUCGGACGCCUCUUCGGCGACGACAUCACCCCGGGCACCACACGCCUCGGCGCCAUCUGCGUCUACCUCCUCGGAUUCUGGCUGCUCGAUGUCGGCAACAACGCAACGCAGGGGCCCUGCAGGGCAUUCCUCGCGGACCUCACCGGUCGGUAAACUCUUCCUUAUUUAUUUCUUCCGUCGAUUAUAUUCUCGAUUUUUAUUAGGAGGAGAAGAACAAUCAAGCAGGAACUGCUGCCUGGGCAGUUCGAUUUCGCUUCCGUCGCACGCGAUUCGUGGCGUAACCAACAAGCAAUUUACCACAUCGCGAGGGGCCAAGCCAAAAACGGCCUCCGAUAUUUCUCUCCUCUCUCUCUGCUGCCUACGGAGUAUAUGCCUUCCCAUAUGUAGUAGUAGUAGUACUAUAACUGAUGAAUGAAAGAAAGAAAAACAGGCGUCGCUUUCCGCUUUAGCCCAGAUUCUUUGCUCCGAUGCGACGUUGCUCGCCUACCUCCUCAAUCCCCAUUUUACACGACGGCUACCUUACUUGCCUCGCCAAGCUCCGGAUUAUGUAUGGCCCUGAUUGUCUUUUUGCCAUGCCAGCUGGCCCAUCAUUAGCAUCAAGUUUAGCAGGCCCGGACAACAAACAAGUAAUGAAUAAUUAGGGGUUAGUAUGUAUACAUAUGUCACCACCAAUUGUUGUUGUUGUUUUUCCCCAAACCUCUCUAUAAGGAUAUGUAUGCUACUCUUCUCUGUAUGUGGGACUCAGGAUGAGUGUGGGGGGAGGUCAAGGGAUCGCUUUCGAAUUGUCACGGUAGGCCUGCACAGGGAGAGAUAUUCAAGUGUUACACCAUUAUUGCUGCAAGUUUGGAAUCAUAGGACAGUCCGCAUCUUUUGCCUGCAGCCAGGUAUUAAAGGGCCCUCAUUAAUAAUUGCAAGGCUGAGAAUGGUUGUGGCUGCGGGCUGCUAUCGGCUUGUAUGCUAAGAGGCAACAUCUGAUGCGACGCUACUCUGUGAUGGUAUGAUCUGUGCUCGUGGUGACAGCAUAGUUUUCAGAUUUUUUUUUGGUAAAACAAAUAGACGAUCAUCUAAGUAUUUUCUGUUGACGCAACUUAGUAGCUCAGCUAGCCCAUGGCCAAUCUGAGGGAGCUUUUCAGUUUCCGUGAUUCUGAUCCAGGCUUGUGCGCACAUUAAAUUGUGUUUUUCUGCUAAUGGUUUAUAAUACAUACACGUUACUUCUCUUGUCAAAACUCAGAAAUGACUCCCUUCCAACCCUUUAUAUUGCAGAGAAUGACCCAAGGAGGACUCGGAUUGCUAAUGCAUACUUUUCACUCUUCAUGGCCCUGGGAAACAUACUUGGAUAUGCCACCGGAGCAUACAGUGGCUGGUAUAGGAUAUUUCCUUUCACUGUUACACCAUCCUGCAGCAUCAGUUGUGCCAACCUCAAGUCUGCCUUUCUUCUUGACAUUAUUAUUCUGGUGAUCACAACCUACAUCACUGUAUCAUCAGCGCAAGAGCCUCAAACUUUUGGAGGUGAUGAAGCAGAACAUCCAGGUACCGAACAGGAAGCUUUCCUCUGGGAGCUUUUUGGGUCAUUCAGAUACUUCACACUACCAGUUUGGAUGGUCUUAAUUGUCACUGCCCUUACAUGGAUUGGAUGGUUUCCUUUUAUCCUCUUUGAUACUGAUUGGAUGGGCCGAGAGAUCUACCGAGGAAGCCCAGACAACCCAGAACAGUCCCAAAGUUACCAUGAUGGUGUGAGAAUGGGUUCUUUUGGCCUAAUGAUGAACUCUGUCCUUCUUGGGUUCACCUCUGUUGUACUAGAAAAGCUAUGUAGGAAGUGGGGAGCUGGACUAGUAUGGGGUGUCUCCAAUAUACUAAUGGCUUUAUGCUUUGUGGCAAUGCUCGUAAUAACAUAUGUUGCAAAGAACAUGGAUUAUCCUCCCAGUGGAGUACCUCCAACUGGCAUUGUCAUUGCUUCCCUGGUGGUUUUUACAAUUUUAGGGGCACCCCUGGCGGUGAGUAACAAGAUUGUCUUUUUCGACAGAAUGAUAUUUUUUUGUCUACUUCCAGCUCACUUGUAUGUUGUCCAUGUGGUAUAUUCAAUUUAUUUCCUUGUUUGCAGAUCACAUACAGUAUACCAUAUGCAAUGGCUGCUAGUCGUGUUGAAAAUCUGGGUCUUGGCCAAGGUAUUUCCAUUUUGAGUACGUACUAUCAUCAUGAUUGCAUUUCUUAACUUUUUUCUAUUUAUCCCCUGCAGGUCUGGCAAUGGGUAUCCUAAAUUUAGCUAUUGUCAUACCACAGGUAAUUACCUUUAUUAAUGUUUUUUGUCGGCUUUGGUUCAGUACUAUGUGUAUAUGGAGUCCAGUGCAACUGUGAGCAGUCAUAGGGUAAUUGGCCUAAACUGAUCAGUAGAUAAUGGAUCCAAGUAAUCUUACCCAAUAACAUUUGCUCUAAGUGAUAAUUGGUUCCAGAACCCAAUUUUAAAAAUGGUUUAUAUUCUUAGCAUCUUAAAGGCAAUAAGAGACGGUUUGAGUUGCAGGUUGAAAUGAUGUUGGUUGUCUAUAUCUUUAUUUAUAGUAGUGUCAGAUUACAGAUAGAACAGAUUUGGUCUUCAGUUAAUUGUAACACAUGGCAACAUAGAAGAACACAAGACAAACAAGAAACCCACGAUGAUGAAAUCACUGUAUCCAUAAAAAACCUAGCUGUAUCCUGGGUUUUUCCUAAAAACCCUUUGUUCUUAAUAUAUUGAUACGCAGCUCUCCUGCGUGUUCAAGAAAAAAAAUGAAAUCAUUGUAUCGUUGAAUAAUGUAGAAGCAGUGGUGUUGCAUUGGCUCUAUCUCAACAGAAGUGAAUUCCCUAUAGGAGAAACUUUCACAAAUAGUCUAGGAUUUGGAUCAUAAUACAACAGUCUCCACGUAGAGCGAAAUUCCUUUCGAUAGUAGAAAUCAUGAGUCGUCAUUGACCAACCAUGUGCGGCUGAAGUAAGGAAUAAUCAACGUGUGAGAUCAUCUUUGUUUUUCAAAAGCUUCACGUGAAGCCACACUGAGGAGACAAUUGGCAAGUCUGAAACCUGGCAACACAAACCAGACGGACACACCAAAUUCUUUGAAUAAUCCACAGUGCCAGCAAAGCCUCAACAUGUGCAACUGACCUCUAAUUUGAAGUGAAAGCAAAUGCUUGAUAAAUGACGAUACACCUGAGUCAGUUGUGAACACCCAUACUACAACUACAGGUGAUUUACUUGGCCUAUUCAUGAAACUGAAGAAGUUCUAAAUUCUAAUCAGCGAAUGUUGAAAUCCAAUCUUUAGGUUUAUAUAAAAGUGAUCAGGUUUUCAUUCCCUGUCUUGCACCACGAUUUCCAUCAAGAAAUCGAACGCUGGAUUGCGACCAAUGACCAUGUUAGCUAAAAAUAAGCUAAAUUCACAAUUAGGAUCAGCCAUCUUAUUUGUACUGUGUAUGUUAAAAAAAACUGUGGUCCGCAUUGGUACAAAUCAAGCCUUGUAAAACUCGUGUGUGUAAGAGAAAUCAGGACCAUUUACACAGAUGUUUAGCAUGAGCAUAAAUUGGCAAACUAGGUUAUGGCAAAAAAAAAAAAAAAAGGGACACUGGCAUGUUAUUUCCCAGAGUUGAAGCUCGACUGGAGCCAGGAUACAUGGUGAUGCAGCUUUUGCGGAUAUUGCUGACACUGGCACCUCCUGCAGAUUAUUGUGUCGCUUGGUAGUGGACCAUGGGAUGAACUGUUCGGCGGUGGAAAUGCGCCUGCUUUUGCGGUGGCAGCCGGUGCAUCUUUCAUCGGUGGGCUGGUGGCUAUUCUGGGGCUUCCACGAGCACGCAUUGCAUCGUCGAGGAGGAGAGGCGGCGGGACGCACCGAUAAGUUGCCUAGCCACCAUUGUUACAUACAUGCUGUGGAGGUGUUGCAAGCAACUUGCAACGAUUCUUUGCGGUUGGUCGGGUUGGGCACACAUCCAAGUCCUGCACUGCACGCUCAUGGGGGUGUCCUUUCCUUUUUGGUGGUUUGCCCUGUUGAGCUAUUUUUUGCCUUGUCUCUCCAUCAUUUGUUGUGCUUUAUUUACGUACAUGGAAGGAAUGUAUGUAUAUGUGUAUGUAUGUCAGGAGGUUAAUUAUAAUUGAGUAAUAAAAGUUACAUGAGUUACGAUUUACUGGCAGGGCUGCUGUUGUAUGUGUACUCCAUACAGAGAGAACAAUAGCAGAGCAGGCAGCUAGUGUCGUCCCUAGUACUAAAACCUCACUGAUUUUGCGGUAUGAUGUCCAGUUCCAGUUGCAACGGCACGCCGGGCGUGGGUUGGAGAACCUGCACCUGCCCGGGAAGCGCCGCCGACAGCUUGGCCUCGAAGGACUGCGUCGUCCCCUGUUUGGAGAUGACGGCGGCCAGGAGUCCGCCGGCGUCCACGUCGCCGUUGCUCAUGGGGACCACGUACCUGGCUCGCAGCAGGCUGGCCAGGCGGACGGCGUCCUCCUGGCCGGAGACGAGGGUGAAGUUGGCCGGAAGCAGCUGCUUCACCACCGGCGUGAUCACCACGUCCGCCUGCAGCUGCCGCCUCUUGUCCGGGAGGAAGAAGGAGCUGUCGUCGUACACGCAGUGCGGCUCGUAGUAGAGUAGGCCGUGGCCACCGUCAUCUGCGCCGGCGAUGAGGACGUAGCCGUUCUCGGGGCGCUGCCACGGCGGGCCCAGCACGGGGCCUGCGGUGGCCACCACCCGGAGCUGGGCGUUGACGGCGGUGGACUGGCCGGGCUCGAGGUAGGUGACGCGGCGGAAGGGCGUGGGCAGGGAGGCGAGCACCGGCUGCGCGUUGGGGGUGGUCACCACCGGCAGCUCCGGCGCCCGGGCGGACAGCUGCGUCAGCGUGCGGACGUGGCAGUGGUCGUCCAGGCUCUGCGUGAUGAGCAGCAGCCCCGGCUCCAGCGCCAGGAGGUCGUCCACGCCCAGGGCCUUCACCUUGGGGUUCUUCUUCGCGCCGUCGAACAGCCAUGGCGCGCCGAAGUCGAGGUUGCCGACGACCAGGGGGUCCACCAGGAUGCGCAUCGGAGAACUCUGGCCCUGGCCCUGCUGCUGCACCUCCCACACCCAGCUGUUGAUCUCCAGAUACGUCAGCUCGAGCGUCACCACCUUAUUGCCCUUGCUGAUGGUCGACGACGACGAGGAGCUACUGCUGCUGGCUGCUACUAUUGAUGAUGAUCUUGUUGGAUCUGGACGCCGGCUCCAAGCCAGGCGACGAUGAUGAUGGCAAGGAGAAGAAGCAGCGACUGGCGCGGCGGUGGGGCUGGAGAGCACCUGGAGCCGGCCGGCCAUGGCCAUCAUCUGAAAUUCUGAAUCCGGCGAUGGAGAGAGAGAGAGAGAGAGAGAGAGAGAGAGAGAGAGAGAGAGAGAGAGAGAGAGAGUGGAGGAGAGGGGACUCUGCUCCAGCACGCAGCACCCACCAGAAAGAAAACUAGUGGUUGUGGCCUUGUCUGGGCUACGUGUUCCGUCCGUCCGUCCGCUUGCUUUUUCUUGGUCAUCUUGGUCAUCAUCAUCAUGGGCCUAGCUACAGGCCCGAAUCGUGGGCCUCGGUGUCUGCAUAUAAUGCUUAUCUGAUGCGUUUAGGUCAGUUUUGAAACUAAAGCUAAUUCUAACAGCAAGCCCACCACAAGCCACUCUAAACAAAAAUUAAAAUAAACAUACAAAAUGUAAGAAUGCUCAGUUAACACUAGUUGUUAGCACCAGAAGAACCAAGUGAGGGACAUGCCGCGUCCAGUAUUAAGGCAUGAGCAAUGCCCACGGCCUUUGGCGGCUUUCUUGCGGGCCUGGAACUGUCGCCUCCGGCCUCUUGUGGUCCUGCCUAUUGGCACUUGGGGCUUUGCUUGUUGCCUGCAUCUUGCUGCUUCCUGGUCCAGGCAGUUAACCCAUCGACGGCCUGCGGUUGGAUGCCCCUCCCUCCUGUUUGCUUGCUGCCUGCAUCUUGCUGCCUGGUCCAGGCAGUUAAGCAAACAGGCCCUUGCAGCGUCGGCGCACGGGACCCUCUUCGCCCGCCUCCAACCUAGUCUCCUGGUUCUCAAAUGACGAGAAAAUCACGGGUUUUUUAAUAAUGAAAUGAGACUCUAUAUUCAUUACUAACGACAAUGUACUACAUGAGAAUAUAUGUUCAUUACUGUGUAAUUUGGAGGUUAAAAAGGUUACUUGUUAAUAAUACUUUAGCAGCGAGGAUGCUGCCAAGGAUGGACGUGGUAGAGAUAUUAAACAUUAUCGCCUGCUGGAGCUGGUUGUUAAGGUCAGCUGUGCCGGGGUCAAAUUAAUCACAUCACAUCCAACCACAUGCCUUUUCUCUCCAACGGAGACAUCAAGCUCAUAACUCACAUGUUCAUUAGCAAUUAGCAUGCUCAUCUCAUCCCAUUAGCAUGUUCAUUAGCAAUUAACAAUGUCCACCAUAUUCAUCAACAAAAAAGCGAACUCAUCAGGAGGUGGUGCCUGAGCUCACGCAAUUGAAUACGACGACAUCUUAGCGCUAACUUAUAACAGACUACAAGAGGAAGAGGCUUCUCCUCCUCCUCUCCUGGCGAGGUUUCUGCUUCUCAGUCUUUCAGCCAAGCCAAGCAAAGCCCAGGCGUUGCUCCUCCUCCUCCUCCUCCCAUCCAUCCAAGGGAAGGGAUGGGUGAGCCUGAGCCCGACGACGCCGUGCUCUUCGUCGGGGUGUCGCUCGUGCUGGGCAUCGCCUCCCGCCACCUCCUCCGCGGCACCCGCGUCCCCUACACCGUCGCCCUUCUCGUCCUCGGCGUCGCGCUCGGCUCCCUCGGUAAGAGAUGCGAUUCCAUUCCCCCCCGCCCUUCUCUUCCCGUACCUGCAAUUCAGUCACUCAUCUGCUACAGUGAUAGUAAAUAGUAAAUACACUCUGAUCACCAUGAACAAUUCUCUCCUUUUACUUUCCUCGCCUUCCAGAGUACGGAACACACCAUGGUCUAGGCAAACUUGGAGCUGGAAUUCGUAUCUGUAAGUUCCUAAUUCAUCCUAAUAAAUACUUCAAUUCAUUCCACAUCUAGGCGAGGUAAGGUGAUCUACCUGCUUUUCCUUCUCUUACUUAAUUAUUAGAGUUAUCCUUCCAAUAAAAUUAUUAAAUUGCAGGGGCCAACAUAAACCCUGACCUUCUGCUGGCUGUUUUUCUACCUGCACUCCUCUUUGAAAGCUCCUUCUCCAUGGAAAUACACCAAAUAAAGGUACACACUCUCUGUUUAUCCAUGCACCAUGGAAAGCCAUUCUAGUUUGGAAUUACGGUUCAUAACUCCCUGAAAAAGCAGAUUGCUAUGAAAAAGCCACUAAUUAGUCUUAUAAAUUCUGUUGUGUGGGGUUCUCAAUCUGUUGGGAUACCUCCUGUAUCUUGUGUAGUGCUGUAUACUCAACCUGCAGCUGAUGCAUCAUAUUUGGUCCUCUGUUAUCACCGCUUCUAAUAAAUAAUAAUGCUGGCUAUGGAUCUCUUCUGCUGUGAUUUUCUUUAGUAGUCCACAUAUGUUUGUUGAGUGUAGACUACAAUGCUUAUUUUGCAGAGAUGUAUGGCACAAAUGGUGUUACUUGCUGGACCCGGCGUUCUAAUAUCAACAUUUUUACUUGGCGCUGCUGUAAAGGUAUGUGCUUAGAGAGAUGAUGAGACAUUAUUUAAUAUAUCCCAAUGCUUCCUAACUGGUGUCCCACAGCUCACUUUUCCUUACAACUGGAGCUGGAAAAUAUCAUUGUUACUUGGUGGACUGCUUAGUGCAACUGAUCCUGUUGCUGUGGUUGCACUGCUAAAAGAACUUGGAGCAAGUAAAAAGCUCAGUACAAUCAUUGAGGGUGAAUCCUUAAUGAAUGAUGGGUAAGCUACUUGAACAAAAUUGUGCAAUCAGUAGUAUUGGACUCUGGAAGAGGGUAUGGAGAUGAACCCUAUAAACUGGAGUUCCUGUUCUAGUCACUACUAGGUCGAAAAAAUAUCCAUGCUAAAACUAAAUUUGAAAGUAUUUGCAGAAUCGUGCUAAAAACCAAAGCUGCCAAAGCUUUUAUAGUCAAUUGUCAUAUUAGAAACUGUCACACUAUUUAUAUAAGUUAAAAUCCGAAAUUCAAGAUUUUGUUAACUAUGCACUGUCCUUAUUUGAGCAUACAGGACACCCUUGACUAGUUGCUAUGGAAUUCAUUCUCCUCAUUGUAUGUAUUAGUCAUAUUGGGGUAAUGUGGUAUAUUAAGGAUACCUCAAAAUAUUAAAAUUUCAAGUUCAGUUAUGAAAUCUAUAAGAGCUUCAAUCAUCCUAAAUAACCACAAAUUCUACAGGACUGCUAUUGUUGUCUAUCAGCUGUUCUAUCGAAUGGUGCUUGGAAGAACCUUUGAUGCUGGCGCAAUAAUAAAGUUCCUGUCAGAAGUUUCACUUGGAGCGUAUGUGGGAUUUCUUUAUUAAAUUCAAAGUGAAUUAUAUGUCUAUGUGCUUAUAAUUCUAAUUAGUAUCUUCUUUGACCAGUGUUGCUCUGGGCCUUGCAUUCGGAAUCGUAUCAGUACUGUGGUUGGGAUUUAUUUUUAAUGAUACAAUCAUAGAGAUUGCGCUUACUCUUGCUGUCAGCUAUAUAGCUUUCUUCACUGUAAGGCCAUGCCACUUCAGGAGUCCUUACUUCCCUCUAUUUUCUCAGAGGCUUUGCUGUUGUUAAUGUUCAUUUAUAUCAGGCACAAGAUUCACUGGAGGUCUCUGGUGUUUUGACUGUCAUGACACUGGGAAUGUUAGUAAAUUUGUGCUGACAAAUAGUUUUGCAUUUUUAAUACUACUACUCUUGUAUUAACCAUGUCACUUGGGCAGGUUCUAUGCAGCUUUUGCAAAAACUGCUUUUAAGGGCGAAAGUCAGCAAAGUUUACACCAUUUCUGGUAUGUUAGAGAAACAAGUCACUCUAUUAUCAACGGACAUAAAUAUUCUUGACAAAUUCUUGACCUAGUAGUUGUGUAUCUGUUCCGUGUAUUCCAUAAGUUUUUUAUGCUGUUCAUGUUUACUUUCUUUCAGCAUUACUUCAACAGGAUUACUAUUUAAAUCUAUGUGCUGUUGUAAAGGCACAGCUUUAUUGUCAGCGUCCAAGUGCCAGCUUUUUUUAGCACCUACUUUAACAAUGAUUUGUUAAAUCUCCUUAGCAUAGAACUUCAUCAUUUAUGUCCUAGAACAUUUAGCAGCAUUUGAAUAAAUCGUAUGCUUUGGAGCCCUCCACUUAAAACUUCUUAAUGCAGUGAAACAGUACUCCUGUGUGUCCAAGAAAAAAUAUAUUCAUGGUGGUCAUUGAACUUGCGACAUGGGUUGGGUCUCUGUACUCCUACGAUGCACAAUAACAUGAGAUAUCUUAAUUUUCCCAGCUGGUUCCCUCCACUUGCUAUAUUGGAGCAAGGGGCUUUGACCUGCAAAAUUAGCUGCCAAGGCUAUGUCAACUUUUCUGAAACCUAGCUAAUCACUAUAAAACCAAAAGUAAGCCAUAUUCUCAGCCCUCUUCCUCGAAUCCUGCUUUUCUACCCCGAGCAGGCCAAGCCAGUGCCAGAGAUGAAGCAAGUGGCGUGGAUGACUAAUGUUACCAGCUUUUUUCUUUUCCUUUUGUUGGGUGGGUUGGGGGUGAGGGGGUGACGGAGGGGGGGGGGGGUUGUUCGAGGGGAGAGGGUGGUCAAUGUUUGCUACUCCUUAAGCGUUCAUCUCAUAGGUCCUGUGUGCCAAAGCAAGGUUGAGUCAUGGUAGUGGAAUUGGAACUACUUAAUACUUAUUGCACUUCAGAAACUAAUUCGAGGGUCCUCCCUGCUAUUUAUUAGCAAUUUUAAUCUGGACCUGUAACCAACAAAAAGUAAACUAAUAAAACCAUAAAAAUACACAAGCAUUAUUAUCAAAUGUUCGCAUGGAAUUAUUCCGUCAGCACUCAUAGUGUCACUGAAUGCCUACCCUAGUUUUGUUGAUGAAUAAUUUGGCCAUUGUUAUUUUCUAGUACCUUGCAAUCUUCUCAGUUGACACUGAAUUAAGGUAGCCUAAUCUUGAUAUUAUUUGAUACACAUCAAAUAAUGGACUCUUUUACUUCUUUAAGUUAUGUACAUGAUCAUGUAUAUAUUCUAUAAGAUAGUCCUUUAUUUUUAUGAUAUUUUAGUAUAUAUAUCUGAUCUGAGUUUCAUGUUUGCUUGCUGUUUUUCUUGUAUUCAGGGAAAUGGUUGCUUACAUUGCAAACACACUUAUUUUUAUACUGAGGUAUUGGCAGCUCUUCUGUACAUGUGGGAAAAAUAUUAUUUGAUUUUUCUGUUUAUGUCCAGCUGAUCCAAACUUCUAGGUGUUUUGAUUGUAUGCUUCAUAACGACACAUCUGUAAAAUUUCUUACUUGUGAAUCCCCUUCAGUGGGGUUGUUAUUGCAGAUGGUGUUCUACAAAAUAAUGUCCAUUUUGAGACGCAUGGUAUGCAUCAUGUACCCCCUGAAAUGUCUUCUGCUGUUUGGUGGAUUUAUUUUUGAGGCUCAAAAUUGAUUAUUUAAAGUUCAAAAUUUAUUGAAGACCCAACGCAACUAUUUCAGUUUUUCAUGAAUACACAAGGAUGAGCUCUCAUUUGUGCUUAGCUCAGGCUUUGAUGCAACAUAUAGAUAUCCACCUGAAUUAAUUAACAUCAUCUCAGCUUUGCCCAUAACCAUUGACACCUUUGUUGCUUCAAAAUCUCUGGAAAAACCUUGGUGAACUAAAGAAAAAUUUACUUUUCUAGUUCUGAUAGUGAGUUAUUCCAUGUUCAUCAUAGUGGAAUGAAUAACAUGCUGUUAAUGUGCUAUUAAAGAUAAUAGGAUCCCUCUGCCCUGCUGCUGAAUUUUGGUGCCAUAGGAUUGCACUUCUUAUUCAACUGCAAUCAGCCGAUCCUUCAAACACUUGGCAUUUGAUUAGUAAAAAAACUUGAACGUUUCAUCUUGGGUUAGAUACCAUUGCUACAAAAUCAUGUUUUUCAUAUGAUUCAAGUGUUACAAUUUGAUAAUAUUUCUUAGUUCUGAUAUGAGCUUUCUGUACUAUGAGCUUAAUUCUAUUAAACCUCAUUAUGUGUACAUUCAUUUUAUCUCUUGGCUCUUGUAGGCACUUCGUGGGGCUUCCUUCUUCUGCUCUAUGUCUUUGUGCAAAUAUCCCGACUUAUAGUUGUUAGUGCUUUGUACCCAUUGUUGCGUCACUUUGGGUAUGGGUUGGACUUGAAAGAGGCCAUGAUUCUUGUUUGGUCAGGGCUGCGAGGAGCUGUUGCUCUGUCACUAUCGUUAUCUGUUAAGGUAAGUUAGUUUCAUUUGUGUACCAAUGAACCCUUUCAUUUGUGCUUCAUUUUCAAGUACAUUAGUCUACUACAGAGUUUUCUAACGCAUUUAUUGGAAUACUUUUAAUAGCGUACCAGUGAUGCAGUUCAACCUUAUAUUAAACCGGAAGUUGGAAUGAUGGUAUGCCCCUUUUUGUGUGUGAAAGUGCCAAAUAUCUAGUUUUGGACUUUGCUAAUGUUAUAUCUUAUGCAGUUUGUGUUCUUCACUGGUGGCAUCGUGUUUCUAACAUUGAUUUUUAAUGGUUCAACCACACAAUUUUUGUUACGUAUGCUUGGCAUGGACAAACUGUCAGCCACAAAGGUUAGCUUCACAAAUUGCCAUCUACCAAUUCCAGCUUGGUAUUUAGGUUUUGCUUGUUUUAGAAAUCUUUUGAGUUUCAUUUAUAUCCAUCUGUCCUCUAUCUUCGACUAAUUAUUACUUUAUUAGUGAAGUACCCAUCUGUCCUCUAUCUUCGACUAAUUAUUACUUUAUUAGUGAAGUGGUGAAGGCAAUGUUUUAUGUGCUGCCACUUAGCCUAAUGCCUUCAAUAUAUCAAGGUUAACGGUCACCAGUUGACUCACAAAAGCUAGACUUAACUCUAGAAUAUCCAAGCCUCCAAGGGGGAAAAACGUGGAGAGACCAAUUAAACUCUAGAUGCUAUCGAUGAGGCAACAAAGAGAAGAAUAGAUUAUCCCAUAUUCCUAGUUCUCUUCUACAAUAUUUUUCCAUAGGACACCACGUGCACAGAUUAAGAAAGUACUAGUUUCAAGAAAAAAAACAA
rnacentral:lncRNA from 1 species